GAUGAACGCUAGCGAUAGGCUUAACACAUGCAAGUCGAGGGGCAGCACAAGGUAGCUUGCUCUCUGGGUGGCGACCGGCGCACGGGUGCGUAACGCGUAUGCAACUUGCCCUAUACAGGAGGAUAACCCGUCGAAAGACGGACUAAUACUGCGUAUGCUCACAACUUGGCAUCAAGUGGUGAGGAAAGAAAUUCGGUAUAGGAUAGGCAUGCGUCCCAUUAGCUUGUUGGUGAGGUAACGGCUCACCAAGGCAACGAUGGGUAGGGGAACUGAGAGGUUUAUCCCCCACACGGGUACUUAGACACGGACCAGACUCCUACGGGAGGCAGCAGUGAGGAAUAUUGGUCAAUGGGCGCGAGCCUGAACCAGCCAAGUCGCGUGAAGGAUGACUGUCUUAUGGAUGGUAAACUUCUUUUAUACGGGAAUAACAAGAGUCACGUGUGACUCCCUGCAUGUACCGUAUGAAUAAGCAACGGCUAACUCCGUG
rnacentral:rRNA from 1 species